CCUACGGGAGGCAGCAGUGGGGAAUAUUGGACAAUGGGCGAAAGCCUGAUCCAGCAAUACCGCGUGUGUGAAGAAGGCCUGAGGGUUGUAAAGCACUUUCAAUUGGGAGGAAUACCUAUCCCUUAAUACGGGGUAGACUGACAUUACCUUUAGAAGAAGCACCGGCUAACUCCGUGCCAGCAGCCGCGGUAAUACGGAGGGUGCGAGCGUUAAUCGGAAUUACUGGGCGUAAAGCGUGCGUAGGUGGUUUGUUAAGUCAGAUGUGAAAGCCCUGGGCUCAACCUGGGAACGGCAUUUGAAACUGGCAGACUAGAGUUUAAGAGAGGGGAGUGGAAUUUCAGGUGUAGCGGUGAAAUGCGUAGAGAUCUGAAGGAACACCAGUGGCGAAGGCGACUCCCUGGCUUAAAACUGACGCUGAGGUACGAAAGCGUGGGUAGCAAACAGGAUUAGAUACCCCAGUAGU
rnacentral:rRNA from 1 species